rnacentral:rRNA from 1 species
ACUCAAAUGAAUUGACGGGGGCCCGCACAAGCGGUGGAGCAUGUGGAUUAAUUCGAGGCAACGCGAAGAACCUUACCAAGGCUUGACAUGGGGGCGCCCGCGCCGGAAACGGCGCCUCCCCCUCCGGGGGGCGCCCCGCACAGGUGGUGCAUGGUUGUCGUCAGCUCGUGUCGUGAGAUGUUGGGUUAAGUCCCGCAACGAGCGCAACCCCUGCGCCCAGUUGCCAUCGGGUAGAGCCGGGCCACACUGGGGGGACUGCCGUGGACAACACGGGGGAAGGUGGGGACGACGUCAAAUCAUCAUGCCCCUUAUGCCUUGGGCUUCACACGUGCUACAAUGGGGCAUACAGCGUGACGCGAGGCCGCGAGGCGGAGCGAAACACGAAAAAGCCCCCCAGUUCGGAUUGCAGGCUGCAACCCGCCUGCAUGAAGCCGGAAUCGCUAGUAAUCGCGGAUCAGCACGCCGCGGUGAAUACGUUCCCGGGCCUUGUACACACCGCCCGU